GGGAAACUCACUCAAGGUCAAAAACUUUGUGAGGAGCAGAGCUCAUAAGAGCCCGCGGUCUCCAGAACCCCACAACAACAUCUGAAAAUAUGAGAGCAGCCGCCUCACCCGCAACAGGGGGAGCCCCUCCUGCCACCAGGGGACCGUCGCCGCCCCUCGCGAGAAGCUGCAGGCGUGGGGGGAGGCGAGGCAGGAUGGCUCGGUGGGCGGUGCCCGGGGCGGGGUCGGCCGUGCCUGGGCGGGGCCGGGUGGGAGGGGCAGUGCAUAAGGCC
rnacentral:lncRNA from 10 species